GACGAACGCUGGCGGCGUGCUUAACACAUGCAAGUCGAACGGAAAGGCCCUGCUUUUGUGGGGUGCUCGAGUGGCGAACGGGUGAGUAACACGUGAGUAACCUGCCCUUGACUUUGGGAUAACUUCAGGAAACUGGGGCUAAUACCGGAUAGGAGCUCCUGCUGCAUGGUGGGGGUUGGAAAGUUUCGGCGGUUGGGAAUGGACUCGCGGCUUAUCAGCUUGUUGGUGGGGUAGUGGCUUACCAAGGCUUUGACGGGUAGCCGGCCUGAGAGGGUGGCCGGCCACAUUGGGACUGAGAUACGGCCCAGACUCCUACGGGAGGCAGCAGUGGGGAAUAUUGCACAAUGGGCGGAAGCCUGAUGCAGCAACGCCGCGUGCGGGAUGACGGCCUUCGGGUUGUAAACCGCUUUCGCCUGUGACGAAGCGUGAGUGACGGUAAUGGGUAAAGAAGCACCGGCUAACUACGUG
rnacentral:rRNA from 1 species